AAAUUGCCGUUAUCUCGACUAAAGUCACAGUUCAUACGGCAAAAUGAAUGCAUCAUUGCAUUUUUAUGUGCCUUUAUCACCCAAAAAUAUUUCAAUGGAAGAAAAUAUUAACAGCAAUAAGUAAAUAACAUCAUCAUGUGCGAGAUGUCACGUAGACAUUUGCAAGUUUGCGGCAGAGGCGAGAGGAGUGCUAAUCAGAUUCGGAAUCACUGUCUAUUACGGCAAUUCGGCGUUUUUUGGAAGCAUAAUUGACAAUAAUCGUAAAAGUGCCACCUGAAAUGUUACUCGAUCCAAAAACUGAAGAUAUGUGGUCGCGUUUCAUUGAAGAAGUGCAUGAAACCGACGAAGCACAUGUUGAGUUCGAAGCAGGCGGCAUGGUAGCAACCGGACACACCUCGCUAUACCGCGAACAGCUGGCAUUGUUUACCUCCCUGUUCACCUCAGAAGAACGCGGUACAAGUGCUCUGGUCUUUGAUCCUGAAAGAAUGGAGGAUGUUUCCCUGUGUUGUUCAGAGUUAAUAUGGGAAUAAUUUUUGAUGCUGUGUACGUUUUUGUGGCCUGAUAUCUGCAUAAUGUGAGACGGUGGGAUGUUUGCAUCGUUCAACUUUUGCACCAAAUAUUUACGGGCACUGUGGUUUGUCAGUUUCUUGUCACUUGACAUUCCCGCAGAAGUUACCAUGCGUUUCAUUAUGGAUUCAAUUUUGUGGAUACCAACAGUUUGCCUUCUAAACCAUGGACCUGGUAAUGAACCUUGAUUUUGACAGUGGAGCUUGCAAUGUAGAAAGGUCUAUCUGGAGUUGAGUAAUCGCCAGGUCUCAAACUACGGUAGAGCUUAUACAUUUCAAUGGGACAAUGAGCUUUAUUUUUUGGAGUGGCAAACAUUUUAGGAGUAACAUCCCUAGUGCCCUUGGGAUCGGAACCUUGUCUUGUCUUGGAUACCCUUUCUGUGAAAUCGAGAUACUCCAGACUAUUUGUGUCAACGCGAAGCUCAACAUCCCCCCACAACAUUUUUUUGUGUUCGUCGGACCCACGGAGACCAAAAUGUGUGGUGUUAUUAAACCAAAGAGUGUUAAUUAUGGCAUCUGGCGACGAAUUUCCAAAUUGUUUGGUCUCCCACAACAUUUCAAUUUCAUUGUCGGAUAUAGCGUCACACCUGUUUGGGAGUGUACGGGACUCGCUCGACCCUGGAGUUGUGCAACUUGAACUUGACCUUGAUGACGUUAACGCUGACGGCUGCCCACCUGAUCUCUUUGAUGUGCCGAUGAGCUUGAUUCUGGUCUCCAUUAGCUCCAUUUCGUAGUCUAUUCCAUCCAGUCUACACCGAUAGUUUCCUUCACCAACAUUCUUAACAAUUGUUGCUUGCCCAGACCCAUCAAUUGACACUUUGUCACCUGAAUAAAACUUUUUGAUGUUUA